rnacentral:rRNA from 1 species
UUGCUGGGUAGCUAUUGUUCGGAAGAGAUAAACGCUGAAAGCAUAUAAGCGUGAAACUUGCCUCAAGAUUAGACUUCUGUUGUCCGUAAGGAAUAAGAUCCCUUAUAGAUUAUGAGGUUGAUAGGCUCCAAGUGUAAGUUCCGCAAGGGAUUGAGCUGAGGAGUACUAAUAGAUCGAAAGCUUAUAA